rnacentral:rRNA from 1 species
UACGGAGGAUGCGAGCGUUAUCCGGAUUUAUUGGGUUUAAAGGGUGCGUAGGCGGGCUUUUAAGUCAGCGGUAAAAAUGCGGCGCUCAACCCCGGCGAGCCGUUGAAACUGGCAGGCUAGAGACGGCGAGAGGUAUGCGGAAUGCGCAGUGUAGCGGUGAAAUGCAUAGAUAUUGCGCAGAACUCCGAUUGCGAAGGCAGCGUACUGGCGCCGGCCUGACGCUGAGGCACGAAAGCGUGGGUAUCGAACAGG